GUGGCUUUCGGGCUGUCGCAGAUGGAUGAGCCUGCGUUGGAUUAGCUAGUUGGUGGGGUAAGGGCCCACCAAGGCUACGAUCCAUAGCUGAUUUGAGAGGAUGAUCAGCCACAUUGGGACUGAGACACGGCCCAAACUCCUACGGGAGGCAGCAGUGGGGAAUAUUGGACAAUGGGGGCAACCCUGAUCCAGCAAUGCCAUGUGUGUGAAGAAGGCCCUAGGGUUGUAAAGCACUUUAGUUGGGGAGGAAAGCCUCAAGGUUAAUAGCCUUGGGGGAGGACGUUACCCAAAGAAUAAGCACCGGCUAACUCCGUGCCAGCAGCCGCGGUAAUACGGGGGGUGCAAGCGUUAAUCGGAAUUACUGGGCGUAAAGGGUCUGUAGGUGGUUUGUUAAGUCAGAUGUGAAAGCCCAGGGCUCAACCUUGGAACUGCAUUUGAUACUGGCAAACUAGAGUACGGUAGAGGAAUGGGGAAUUUCUGGUGUAGCGGUGAAAUGCGUAGAGAUCAGAAGGAACACCAAUGGCGAAGGCAACAUUCUGGACCGAUACUGACACUGAGGGACGAAAGCGUGGGGAUCAAACAGGAUUAGAUACCCUGGUAGUCCACGCUGUAAACGAUGAGUACUAGCUGUUGGAGUCGGUGUAAAGGCUCUAGUGGCGCAGCUAACGCGAUAAGUACUCCGCCUGGGGACUACGGCCGCAAGGCUAAAACUCAAAGGAAUUGACGGGGACCCGCACAAGCGGUGGAGCAUGUGGUUUAAUUCGAUGCAACGCGAAGAACCUUACCUGGUCUUGACAUCCUGCGAACUUUCUAGAGAUAGAUUGGUGCCUUCGGGAACGCAGUGACAGGUGCUGCACGGCUGUCGUCAGCUCGUGUUGUGAAAUGUUGGGUUAAGUCCCGCAACGAGCGCAACCCCUAUUGAUAGUUACCAUCAUUAAGUUGGGUACUCUAUUGAGACUGCCGCUGACAAGGCGGAGGAAGGUGGGGACGACGUCAAGUCAUCAUGGCCCUUACGACCAGGGCUACACACGUGCUACAAUGGGU
rnacentral:rRNA from 1 species